AACGUAGGAGACAAACGUUAUCCGGAGUUACUGGGCGUAAAGGGCGUGUAGGUGGUUUGUUAAGUCUGGCGUGAAAGCUCUCGGCUAAACCGGGAGAGGUCGUUGGAUACUGGCAAACUAGAGGACGGUAGAGGCGUGUGGAAUUCCGGGUGUAGUGGUGAAAUGCGUAGAGAUCCGGAGGAACACCAGUGGCGAAGGCGACACGCUGGGCCGUACCUGACGCUAAAGCGCGACAGCAUGGGGAGCAAACGGG
rnacentral:rRNA from 1 species